UUAAUCCAAUACAAGGUAUCAGAGAAGCCAGAACCUAUCCUGGCAAGCAACAGGCUCAAGUCAGGAUAUACCCUGGAAAGGUAUAUUGCAUUGCAGGAAAAACAUACUCACAUAAGCACCUGUUUUUCCCAGAAGCCAGAUGGCUUACCACUACAGUAUGUCUUUGGACUUUGGGAAGAAACUUGAACACCUGGCAGAAACCCUCACAAGCACAGGGAGAGCAAACAAGCUCCAUGCAGAGAGCACCCCAAGUCCAGGAUUGAACUCAGGGCCCAGGUACUGAGAGGUUGCAAUGUAAACCACCAUUGCCACCCUUUUAUAUAUAGCAAUUAUGUUCUAUAAGAUACUUUCUACAAAUCACAUUUAGAAUACUGUGUUUCAUAAAAAGAAUGCAAUAAAUUUACACAGUUUGAAAUAUUGCAAUAACAAAUCUUACUUAUCAGCAUCUUUAAUCAAAGGAUAUUUAUUUUCACAGUACUGAUGUCAAUGUGAAAAGCUGGGAACCAAGCUUUUAUUAUUGAAUUCAACUUAUUGUAUUUCCUUAAGGAUUAAAUCACGUGUACAGGUAAAAACCAGGUUCUAAUGCUGUACUUCCUUUCUACCCUUCAGAUUCACUUGAAAAAAUUGACCUAACACCUGAUUUUUUCAAGAAAAUCUUCGCUCUCAUUUUAAGCUGGACAUGGGGAACCAAGUACAACUUCCUGUAUAAAUACCCUGACACAGCAAAAACUCUCCCUGAAUAUCUGGUCAAUAACGAGAAGAUCUACUUGGAAGAUGCUGCUAUUGCCAAUGAUUGUGGCUACCCAUUGGUUUUGAGGAAUGACAGGAGAGUUAAACUCAUUCUGUCAUUUUUGGUAAGAAGCUGUAUUGGAAAUCACAAUAUUUAGCAGUUCAGUAUAGUGAAGUCUUAUACAGUAUAUAGGCUCACAUGCUUUGCAUCAA
rnacentral:lncRNA from 1 species